rnacentral:rRNA from 1 species
UACGUAGGGUGCAAGCGUUGUCCGGAAUUAUUGGGCGUAAAGAGCUCGUAGGCGGUCUGUCACGUCGGCUGUGAAAUCCCGAGGCUCAACCUCGGGUCUGCAGUCGAUACGGGCAAACUAGAGUAUUGCAGGGGAGACUGGAAUUCCUGGUGUAGCGGUGAAAUGCGCAGAUAUCAGGAGGAACACCGGUGGCGAAGGCGGGUCUCUGGGCCGUAACUGACGCUGAGGAGCGAAAGCGUGGGAGCGAACAGG